UGGGGAAUAUUGCGCAAUGGGCGAAAGCCUGACGCAGCGACGCCGCGUGAGGGAUGAAGGUUUUCGGAUCGUAAACCUCUGUCAGAAGGGAAGAAGUUAUACCGUUCUAAUCAGCGGCAUAUUGACGGUACCUUCAAAGGAAGCACCGGCUAACUCCGUGCCAGCAGCCGCGGUAAUACGGAGGGUGCAAGCGUUAAUCGGAAUUACUGGGCGUAAAGCGCACGUAGGCUGUAUGUCAAGUCAAGGGUGAAAUCCCACGGCUCAACCGUGGAACUGCCUUUGAAACUGGCAAACUGGAGUAUGUGAGAGGAUGGCGGAAUUCCUGGUGUAGGAGUGAAAUCCGUAGAUAUCAGGAGGAACAUCAGUGGCGAAGGCGGCCAUCUGGCACAUAACUGACGCUGAGGUGCGAAAGCGUGGGGUAGCAAAUACGAUGAUAGAUACCC
rnacentral:rRNA from 1 species